GAUGAACGCUAGCGGCAGGCCUAAUACAUGCAAGUCGAACGAGAUUAAGAGGCUUGCUUCUUAUGAAAGUGGCGCACGGGUGCGUAACGCGUAUGCAACCUACCUUAAUCAGGGGGAUAGCCCGAAGAAAUUCGGAUUAAGACCGCAUAAAAACACAGGAUAGCAUUAUCCAAUGUUCAAAUAUUUGUAGGAUUAAGAUGGGCAUGCGUGUCAUUAGCUAGUUGGCGGGGUAACGGCCCACCAAGGCGACGAUGACUAGGGGAUCUGAGAGGAUGACCCCCCACACUGGUACUGAGACACGGACCAGACUCCUACGGGAGGCAGCAGUAAGGAAUAUUGGUCAAUGGAGGGAACUCUGAACCAGCCAUGCCGCGUGCAGGAAGACAGCCCUCUGGGUCGUAAACUGCUUUUAUUCGGGAAUAAACCUUUCUACGUGUAGGAAGCUGAAUGUACCGAAGGAAUAAGGAUCGGCUAACUCCGUG
rnacentral:rRNA from 1 species